AAGCAAGAUGAUGUCAGAAUUGGAGUGAAAUUGCUGCCUUACUUUGGAACAAAAAGAAUACGAAACUGCCAUUUAGCAGCAGAUCUAACUGGGAACAUAUGCAGCCUUUUGUAAUCAAGAAAUAAUCAGCCCAAGAGCCACAUGGACCCCCUCAACCAUUCCCUUGAGUGAAGGACAGUCAAAAGCUUGCUUAGAGGCCUUAAGAAUAUGAGAAGAAUGGUAUACCACCCUCAGGCCUUUGUGAGCUAUCGGGUGUCAAGAGCAGCCAGGAGGAUCCAGAUGCAAGAGGAAAGGUUCUUCGCCUGAUCCAGAAGAAGAGCUUUUGGACGCAUGGAGGUUGUCAGCAUCUUUCACUGGAGCAGUGAGUAAUAAGUCUCAACUUAUAAACUAGCAAAGGGUGAGUGGUGGCGACUGCUAACCCAGGAACUAUGGCACUGCUGUUGCUAGCAGGGUCACAAGGUCUGUGUGAUGCUUCAGCUGCCUGUGUGCAGUUUUAUUUUGGUCUCUUUAAUUGCAAUAAUCAGCGAGGCCUAAAAGAGUAAUUAUUGUGGCUAGAUGAGUAAGCCGUGACCCCACCUGUCUCUACCUUGCUUUGUUGCUUAGUGCCAUAACAACCUUGGACCUCAGAAUAAAAACUUCCUAGAUGUUUUCCCAGGGAGAGAAGUGGAGUUUCCUGUAUUUGGAAGGGGAGAUUGUUUUAAAUGUGUUUCCUUCAAAUCCCAGUUUUGAUCAAUUUAUCCAUUCUUUAAAAACUUUAAUAAAACUUUUAUUAAAUAAGAAUUGC